rnacentral:rRNA from 1 species
UACAGAGGUCUCAAGCGUUGUUCGGAUUCAUUGGGCGUAAAGGGUGCGCAGGCGGCGCGGUAAGUCGGGUGUGAAAUCUCGGAGCUUAACUCCGAAACUGCAUUCGAUACUGCCGUGCUUGAGGACUGGGAGAGGAGACUGGAAUUUACGGUGUAGCGGUGAAAUGCGCAGAUAUCAGGAGGAACACCGGUGGCGAAGGCGGGUCUCUGGGCAGUAACUGACGCUGGAGGAGCGAAAGCGUGGGGAGCGAACAGG